GGUUCAAUGGUCUAGUGGUUAUGAUUUCUGUCUCACACUAGAAGCACCAUCAGGGUUUAUUCUUGUAACUCUGAUAGUGUUUCUGUGAUCACAGAAGGUCUCCAGUUCGAUCCUGGAUUGAACCA